GUUUGAUCCUGGCUCAGGAUGAACGCUGGCGGCGUGCUUAACACAUGCAAGUCGAACGUGAGAAUAGCAAUAUUUGAAAGUGGCAAACGGGUGAGUAACACGUGGGAACCUGCCUCGAAGUGGGGGAUAACGAUUGGAAACGGUCGCUAAUACCGCACGGUUCUGCUCUGAUGGGAAUGGAGCAGAUAAAGAUUUAUCGCUUUGAGAGGGGCCCGCGGCCGAUUAGCUAGUUGGUAAGGUAAAGGCUUACCAAGGCGAUUAUCGGUAGCUGGUCUGAGAGGACGAUCAGCCACACGGGAACUGAGACACGGUCCCGACUCCUACGGGGGGCAGCAGUGAGGAAUAUUGGGCAAUGGGCGAAAGCCUGACCCAGCAACGCCGCGUGGAGGAUGAAGGCUUUAGGGUUGUAAACUCCUUUUGUGGGGGAAAAGAAUGGAUGGUACCCCAAGAAUAAGUCACGGCUAACUACGUGCCAGCAGCCGCGGUAAUACGUAGGUGACAAGCGUUAUCCGGAAUUACUGGGCGUAAAGCGCACGCAGGCGGUCAGAUAAGUCUGAUGUGAAACCUUCUGGCUUAACCAGAAGACGUCGUUGGAUACUGUUUGACUUGAGGCGAUGAGAGGAAUGCGGAAUCCCCGGUGUAAUGGUGGAAUAUGUAGAUAUCGGGGGGAACAUCUGAGGCGAAAGCGGCAUUCUGGCAUUAGCCUGACGCUCAUGUGCGAAAGCGUGGGGAGCAAACGGGAUUAGAUACCCCGGUAGUCCACGCUGUAAACGAUGAAUACUAGGCGUAGGUGGAGUUAAACCCAUCUGUGCCGAAGCCAACGCAUUAAGUAUUCCGCCUGGGAAGUACGGCCGCAAGGCUAAAACUCAAAGGAAUUGACGGGGGCCCGCACAAGCAGCGGAGCGUGUGGUUU
rnacentral:rRNA from 1 species